rnacentral:tRNA from 1 species
CCUUCGAUAGCUCAGUUGGUAGACGCGGAGGACUGUAGGUGCUUAUAGGGGUCAUCCUCAGGUCGCUGGUUCGACUCCGGCUCGAAGGA